AUUGAACGCUGGCGGCAUGCCUUACACAUGCAAGUCGAACGGCAGCACGGGGGCAACCCUGGUGGCGAGUGGCGAACGGGUGAGUAAUACUCGGAACGUGUCCUGUAGUGGGGGAUAGCCCGGCGAAAGCCGGAUUAAUACCGCAUACGAUCUACGGAAGAAAGCGGGGGAUCGCAAGACCC
rnacentral:rRNA from 1 species